GCCUAGGUGGCGUAGUGGUCAAGACGCUCGCCUGGUAAGCAGGAGGGUAUGGGUUCAAACCCAGCCGAGGUA
rnacentral:tRNA from 1 species